rnacentral:rRNA from 1 species
CACUCCUGCGGGAGGCAGCAGUGGGGAAUAUUGGACAAUGGGCGCAAGCCUGAUCCAGCCAUGCCGCGUGAGUGAUGAAGGCCCUAGGGUUGUAAAGCUCUUUCACCGGUGAAGAUAAUGACGGUAACCGGAGAAGAAGCCCCGGCUAACUUCGUGCCAGCAGCCGCGGUAAUACGAAGGGGGCUAGCGUUGUUCGGAUUUACUGGGCGUAAAGCGCACGUAGGCGGACUAUUAAGUCAGGGGUGAAAUCCCGGGGCUCAACCCCGGAACUGCCUUUGAUACUGGUAGUCUUGAGUUCGAGAGAGGUGAGUGGAAUUCCGAGUGUAGAGGUGAAAUUCGUAGAUAUUCGGAGGAACACCAGUGGCGAAGGCGGCUCACUGGCUCGAUACUGACGCUGAGGUGCGAAAGCGUGGGGAGCAAACAGGAUUAGAAACCCUUGUAGUCCCAUGAU